AACGGCCGCGGUAUCCUGACCGUGCGAAGGUAGCGUAAUCAUUUGUCUUUUAAAUAGAGACCUGUAUGAAUGGCAUAACGAGGGUUUAACUGUCUCCUUCCCCUAGUCAAUGAAAUUGAUCUGCCCGUGCAGAAGCGGACAUAAAUACAUAAGACGAGAAGACCCUAUGGAGCUUUAGACAAAAGAUCAAACAUGUAAAGAAACCAAGUUAACCAAAAGGAACACAAAGGCCACGAAACCCGACGUAAACUGAUCCAAAUGUCUUCGGUUGGGGCGACCAUGGGGGAGAAAAAAGCCCCCACGAGGAACAGGGACUAAUCCCUAAGCCAAGAGAGACAUCUCUAAGCAACAGAAAAUCUGACCAAAAGUGACCCAGAAUACUAAUUCUGAUCAACGAACCAAGUUACCCUAGGGAUAACAGCGCAAUCCUUUCCCAGAGUCCAUAUCGACGAAAGGGUUUACGACCUCGAUGUUGGAUCAGGACAUCCUAAUGGUGCAGCCGCUAUUAAGGGUUCGU
rnacentral:rRNA from 1 species